rnacentral:rRNA from 1 species
GAUGAACGCUGGCGGCGUGCCUAACACAUGCAAGUCGAACGGAAAGGCCCUGCUUUUGCGGGGUGCUCGAGAGGCGAACGGGUGAGUAACACGCGAGUAACAUGCCCUUGACUUUGGGAUAACUUCAGGAAACUGGGGCUAAUACCGGAUAGGAGCUCCUGCUGCAUGGUGUGGGUUGGAAAGUUUCGGCGGUUGGGGAUGGAAUCGCGGCUUAUCCGCUGGUUGGUGGGGUAGUGGCUUACCAAGGCUUUGACGGGUAGCCGGCCUGGGAGGGUGGCCAGGCACAUUGGGACUGAGAUACGGCCCAGACUCGUACGGGAGGCAGCAGUGGGGAGUAUUGCAGAGUAGGCGGAAGCCUGAUGCAGCAACGCCGGGUGCGGGAUGACGGCCUUCGGGUUGUAAACCGCUUUCGCCGGUGACGAAGCGUGCGUGACGGUAAUGGGUAAGAAAGCAACGGCUAACUACGUG